UGGGGGUUAGGGGGUCCGUGGGGAACUGGAGGAGCUGAGGGGCUGUGAGUGACUGACCCCAGCUGGUCAGUGCUUGCAGGGACAAGGGCCCCUGUGGCCAGAUCACUGCCUUUGAAGAGAAAUCCAGAUUGGGUUGCUAAAUCUGUUGAUUUUUAAAUUUUGGCAAAUCCAAAAAUUCUCUGCCAGAGAGGUGACACGUGAGAGCUGACUUCGCAGGUCAGGGGUGCAGGUGGUCAGUGUUAGAGGCCAGUCUGAAGCAGUGGGCUACGGGAAUGGGAUGGGUGGGUCACGCACCCCACUCUGCCUUUAAACUGGGUUCUGCCAGAUCUCCCCUCCCAUCCUGUGACCCGGAUUAGGAGGUCUCAUAGGCUCCUGUCCCCCUUCAGGUCACCUUGGUCACCACUAUUUGUGCUCAGGUAUGCAGUCCCACUGUGGUGGGGGUCAGAGCCCCACCCCCGGUCCCCAACCCAGCCUUCUCCCUCCUCUUGUGGCCAACGCAAGGGGGAGCUUGGCAGGGGAGAGAGGCCCAGGGCUCUGCGGUGGGGCAGGAUGGCACCAGGCCACCGUGGUGGCUGUGGUAGAUAGGCAGGGCGUGGAUAUGGGAUCUUUGGGGACCUGUGGGCACCUUGUAUGUAGGAGCCCUUGUACUUCCCAGCUCCACUCCUUCAGGUGGCCUCUGCCCCCACCUUCGACCCCUCCCAAGGACACCCUCACCCCACCAGCAGCCUGCCUGGCAGCCCAGUGGACCAGAGCCAGCUCCUGUCCCGCAGGCCUCCCUGCCAGGGUGAGAGGGUCUCUGAGCCUCAUCACUGGUCUAGGCUGGGGGUGGGGUGGGCGAGGCACCUCCUCCUCACCCCACCCCCAGGCAGAGCACGGCUCCCCUCAGCCCUCCUCUUUCUUGAACAUAGUUCUGUGGCUGGCUCAGGGGUCUUGGGUCCGGUCCCAUCUUCUGAUAGGCUCUGUGAUGCUCCUGGGGCCCUGAGGAUUCUUCCUGGGCUGUGGAAGGGGACCACCAGGGGAUCACCCUCCCCCAGGACAUGACCAGGUGGGUGUCCCUGUGGCAUGGGAACUGGAUGGAAUGGCCUAUGGGUGAAUACUGGCCAGGUCUGACCAGAGGGCUUGAGGCCCUGCCCUCCUAGAGCCUUUGGGACAAGCUGGGGACAGGAGAUAGUGGAAGAAGUAGCCACAGUUGUGUUGGCCCUGAGAUUUAGGGGAUCCAGGGCUCUGUGAGUGGUUCCAGUGGCCCCCUGGCCCCCACAGGGUCUUUCCCAGAAGAGCUAUAGUCCUGGGGGCUCCUCUGGUCCUGCCUGACCUCCUACCACCCUCCCCACACCCCUGGUCCCUCUCCCACGGGGCUGGUUGCCCUGUGUCCCCGGCUGCAGAUCUCUGGGCCCUUCACAAGCCGGCACUUGUUGGUCCCCUGAGGGCCUGGGCUCAGGGUGGGGCUCUGCAGCGGCCCGGCACAUCAGCACGGAGGCCUCCCCUCGCCCCUGCCUGUGUGGCGGGGUGAGGCUGGCAGGUCCGGCGGGUCCCAGCUUUCCUGCUUAGGAAGUUCUGGGGCCCAGGAACUCUGGGUUCUGAGCUGCUGCUCUGCCCUGGAUUCCCACCUGCUGCCCACAGCCCAUGAGUGACCCUGAAUUCUGUCCCCA
rnacentral:lncRNA from 1 species